ensembl:snoRNA SNORD68 small nucleolar RNA, C/D box 68
UGAUGAAAUUUCUCCGGAAUCUCUGUAAAUCAAUGAUGAUUAUUGUCGAACCCUUUUCCAUCUGAUGACUGUAGUUUAUCUGC